rnacentral:tRNA from 1 species
GCCUGGGUGGCUCAGUCAGUUGAGCAUCUGACUUCAGCUCAGGUCAUUAUCUCACAGUUCAUGAGUUCAAGCCCCAUGUCAGUCU